rnacentral:rRNA from 1 species
GAUGAACGCUGGCGGCGUGCCUAACACAUGCAAGUCGAACGGAACAUUCGUUUUCGGAUGAAUGUUUAGUGGCGAACGGGUGAGUAACGCGUGAGUAACCUGCCUUUCAGAGGGGGACAACAGCUGGAAACGGCUGCUAAUACCGCAUAAUAUAUUCGGAUGGCAUCGUCUGAAUAUCAAAGAUUUAUCACUAAAAGAUGGGUCUGCGUCUGAUUAGCUAGUUGGUGAGGUAAUGGCUCACCAAGGCGACGAUCAGUAGCCGGUCUGAGAGGAUGAACGGCCACACUGGGACUGAGACACGGCCCAGACUCCUACGGGAGGCAGCAGUGGGGAAUCUUCCGCAAUGGACGAAAGUCUGACGGAGCAACGCCGCGUGAGUGAAGAAGGUUUUCGGAUCGUAAAGCUCUGUCUUCAGGGACGAACGUGUAGAUUGUAAAUAAUGAUUUAUAAUGACGGUACCUGAGGAGGAAGCCACGGCUAACUACGUGCCAGCCGCCGCGGUAA